rnacentral:rRNA from 1 species
GACGAACGCUGGCGGCGUGCUUAACACAUGCAAGUCGAACGGAAAAGCCCUGCUUUUGUGGGGUGCUCGAGUGGCGAACGGGUGAGUAACACGUGAGUAACCUGCCCUUGACUUUGGGAUAACUUCAGGAAACUGGGGCUAAUACCGGAUAGGAGCUCCUGCUGCAUGGUGGGGGUUGGAAAGUUUCGGCGGUUGGGGAUGGACUCGCGGCUUAUCAGCUUGUUGGUGGGGUAGUGGCUUACCAAGGCUUUGACGGGUAGCCGGCCUGAGAGGGUGACCGGCCACAUUGGGACUGCGAUACGGCCCAGACUCCUACGGGAGGCAGCAGUGGGGAAUAUUGCACAAUGGGCGGAAGCCUGAUGCAGCAACGCCGCGUGCGGGAUGACGGCCUUCGGGUUGUAAACCGCUUUCGCCUGUGACGAAGCGUGAGUGACGGUAAUGGGUAAAGAAGCACCGGCUAACUACGUG